CUCCUACGGGAGGCAGCAGCCAGGAAUCUUGCGCAAUGGGCGAAAGCCUGACGCAGCAACGCCGCGUGGGCGAUGAAGGCCUUCGGGUCGUAAAGCCCUGUUGUCGGGGACGAAGGGCGAAGGGUUAAUAGCCCCUAGCCUGACGGUACCCGACGAGGAAGCCCCGGCUAACUACGUGCCAGCAGCCGCGGUAAUA
rnacentral:rRNA from 1 species